rnacentral:rRNA from 1 species
GUUUAACGGCCGCGGUAUUUUGACCGUGCAAAGGUAGCGCAAUCACUUGUCUUUUAAAUAAAGACCUGUAUGAAUGGCAUAACGAGGGCUAAACUGUCUCCUUACUCCAGUUAAUGAAAUUGAUCUCCCCGUGCAGAAGCGGGGAUUAACCCAUAAGACGAGAAGACCCUGUGGAGCUUUAGAUGAUAGAUGAAUUUAUUAAAAAAUUAAUACCACAUAAAAGGUAAUUUAAACGAUGACCUCAUCUUAAAUCUUUAGUUGGGGCGACCGCGGAGUAAAACAAAACCUCCGUGAGGAUUGAGAUGAAAACCUUAUACCCAAGAAUGUCAUUUCUAAGUACCAAAAUAUUUGACCAAUUGAUCCGGCAACAGCCGAUUAACGAACCUAGUUACCCCAGGGAUAACAGCGCAAUCCUCUUUGAGAGCCCCUAUCGACAAGAGGGUUUACGACCUCGAUGUUGGAUCAGGACAUCCUAAUGGUGUAG